UGAUUGAUUCAUCGACUGAAGAGGUUUCACGGACUGGCUGUAUUUAUACAACUUGCGGAGUGACCGACUUAGAAAGUUAUAUCGUAAUUUUACCUGGAGGUCACUGGCACUGUGUUUAAGUGGUUAUAAUACCUGUGUCGAGACAUUUGUAUAACCUGGUUCUAUUUAUAGAGUGUGGUACGGAGCACAGGGAUUUGGCACGAAUGUAAAUGAGGAAACGCUACAACGUACGAGACAUGAUAACACCAAAGGACACGUCUUGUGGACAAGGCUAUGGUUUUAGCGAUUUCAAGUUAUUGAGGUGCCCAUCAGAUGUGAGCGUAUUUAAACCGAGCGUGGAAAUGUCUACCUAGCCAUCUGAUGCUUCUGACCAAAUUUGGUCAAAACACGCAGUGAUGUUACAGACAGAGUUCGGAUAGAAUCGAGGCACUCCUACAGACGAUCCCUGCCCCUUAGGACCCUGGGGGCAAAGACGCGCCAUUCAUACAUCAUAGGUUCCUCGUCCCCUAAGGAUGCUUCUGUUCAAAUGAAGUCAAAAUAUGCAAAGAUGUUUAUGACUAAUAGCGAUUUGUAGAAAUAGUAGAUGGACGGACAUCGGACGCUGCGGGAAAGAGGUUAAACAAUGUGUGUGAUGGUGGUGGUGGUGAGGGUGUGUGUGUGUGUGUGUGUGUGUGUGUGUGUGUGUGUGUGUGUGUGUGUGUGUGUGUGUGUGUG